GGGUCAGUAGGUUGGUCGUGCCACCGGUACGUACUGGUCACACUGAUUCCUCCUUCCUGAAGAACCGUAAUGCCAUUAAUUUGGUGUUGCGGGGAAACAGGGCUGUUACUUUGAAAAAAUUAGAGUGUUUAAAGCAAGCUAACGCUUGAAUACAUUAGCAUGGAAUAAUGAAAUAGGACGAUCGAUCCUAUUUUGUUGGUUUCUAGGAUUGACGUA
rnacentral:rRNA from 1 species